AGGAAUCAAAUUUGUAGAAUGAAUUUCCAGAACUUUUGUUCUUGAUCUACAUGUUCGAAUUACAAAGUUGAAUGUGCAGUUCCUAGAACUUUUGCUCUUGAUCUACAUAUUCAGAUUGUGUGGCAAAAUUAUUGUUUACUUUGCUUUCACAAGUAUGUUUCUUCUUUUCCCACUGGAUCAUAUCUUACUAAGGGACUAAGAAUUGGUAGGAAUAUGUGAAAUUCUCUAUAAUUUUCUUAAGCUCACUGAAUUCUAUGUCUGCAUUUGAGGUACUCAUCUGAUGAAUUCAAGAGUCUAUUUUCUUGUUAUUUGCAGAAUAUGUUUAUUUAAAAACUGAGAACAUGAACUGCAGAGUACAUGUUAAUUUUUUUGAGUGACAUUUCAGUUUAUGUUUUGCUUGUAUUACUCGUUGGUACUUCUUGUAUAAGGAAAAUAACACUUCUGAGUUUGAAAAUGACAUACUUGAGCCUAUUUUUCUAAUAAAUAAUUGUCUUCUAUUUUACUCCCACCUUGUAGCUGUUUUUCAUGUAGACAUCAACUACAUGGUGCAUUUUUUAGAAUCUGAUUUGAUAUUAGUGUCUAUGGUGUGACAUUUCUUUAAUCUCAACAGUCCUUAUUUCCUCAAGUUUUUCUCAUCUUUUGCAGUAUAUCAUUAGAAUUCAUACUAGAAUUUUUGAACAGCCCUUAUUUCCUCAAGUUUUUCUUAUCUUUUGCAGUAUAUCAUUAGAAUUCAUACUAGAAUUUUUUUUACUUGUUCCAGAUUAAGCUUAGAUAUAAAUAUACGUACUGAACCCAAGCUUAGUAUAGGAUCCUCACAGCUAGUCAUUUCAAGAUACGAUAAUAGUAGGAUUUUUAUAAUUUAUGUCUAAUCAUGAUAAGACUUUCAUAAAUUUCAUAUUAUUCUUCCUUACUUCCUCUACCUCUUCAACUCUUAUAUGUCGAUAAAGUCACUGAUAAUACACUCUAGCAACUGCUUGAUGUACAUAGAUAAAAUUGAGUAUUGAAAUAAUUACAUGUUAUACUUAUACAAGUUUGGAGCCAAGUAAUGAUGUAUCUCGGGCGAUCACAAAAAUCUUUAUGGAAAAAUUGGAUCCCGAAGGAUAUGAUUGGAAGUCAGUUACAC
rnacentral:lncRNA from 1 species